ACGUGGGGAGGGAUCAUUU
rnacentral:rRNA from 1 species